AAAUGACUUCCACCUGCAGUCCUACAACAUGCCAGAGUGAUACUGCUGGUCCAGUUGGCUUGCUGACUAAUCAGCACCUCAGGGCAAAAAGAAUUGUCACGGAAAAUGGAUUUGGCACCUGAACCAUCAAUAGAUUAACAGAACUGAGAAGCCCAAGAAAGACAGUGGAGGCUGGAGUGAUGCUGAUUACACUGGAAUGUAUGGCAGUUGGUUGAACUAAUGGAGAACAGAAUUACAGAUGUCCAUAGGAAUUGAAGGAGCCUUACAAUGAAGAGGGUGGGCCAGCAGUGCAGUCUGCAAAAUGGAGAACGUGAAGGUUUGCCGAGUCCUCUCUCCUGAAGCCUACAGCUUUGAGAAAUG